rnacentral:tRNA from 1 species
UUCAUGUUGCCGGAGUUGCCGAUACCGGUGUUGAUGUCGCCGGAGUUGCCGAUACCGGUGUUCAGGUCGCCGGUGUUGAACCA